UUUUGAGAGUUUGAUCCUGGCUCAGGAUAAACGCUGGCGGCGUGCGUAACACAUGCAAGUCGAACGAGAAUGUACUGACGGAUCCUUCGGGUGAAGAUAGUACAGGACAGUGGCGGAUGGGUGAGUAACGCGUAAGAAACCUGCCUUUCACACCGGGAUAGCAGCUGGAAACGGCUAUUAAUACCGGAUGAUACUUUUCUAACGCAUGUUGGGAAGGUCAAAGAAUUUCGGUGAAAGAUGGUCUUGCGUCUGAUUAGCUAGUUGGUGGGGUAACGGCCUACCAAGGCGACGAUCAGUAGCCGGCCUGAGAGGGUGUACGGCCACAUUGGGACUGAGACACGGCCCAAACUCCUACGGGAGGCAGCAGUGGGGAAUUUUGCACAAUGGAGGAAACUCUGAUGCAGCGACGCCGCGUGAACGAAGAAGGUUUUCGGAUCGUAAAGUUCUGUCCUGGGUGAAGAUAAUGACGGUAACUCAGGAGGAAGCCCCGGCUAACUACGUGCCAGCAGCCGCGGUAAUACGUAGGGGGCGAGCGUUGUUCGGAAUUAUUGGGCGUAAAGGGUACGUAGGCGGAUCGUUAAGUUUGGCGUUAAAUUCUGGGGCUCAACCCCAGCAAGCGUUGAAAACUGGCGACCUUGAGUAGUAGAGGGGACAGUGGAAUUCCUAGUGUAGCGGUGAAAUGCGUAGAGAUUAGGAAGAAUACCGGUGGCGAAGGCGACUGUCUGGAUACAUACUGACGCUGAGGUACGAAAGCGUGGGGAGCGAACAGGAUUAGAUACCCUGGUAGUCCACGCCCUAAACGAUGAGUGCUAGGUGUCGGGAGUCAAAUCCCGGUGCCGCCGUUAACACAUUAAGCACUCCGCCUGGGGAGUACGCACGCAAGUGUGAAACUCAAAGGAAUUGACGGGGACCCGCACAAGUAGCGGAGCAUGUGGUUUAAUUCGAAGCAACGCGAAGAACCUUACCAGGGCUUGACAUAACAGUGACGGGUUAAGAGAUUAACCGUUCCCUUCGGGGACACUGCUACAGGUGGUGCAUGGUUGUCGUCAGCUCGUGUCGUGAGAUGUUGGGUUAAGUCCCGCAACGAGCGCAACCCUUGUCGUUAGUUGCCAGCAUUAAGAUGGGGACUCUAGCGAGACUGCCGGUGAUAAACCGGAGGAAGGUGGGGAUGACGUCAAAUCAUCAUGCCCUUUAUGUCCUGGGCUACACACGUGCUACAAUGGCCGAAAACAGCGUGAAGCAACCUCGUGAGAGCAAGCGAACCACGAAAAGUCGGUCUCAGUUCGGACUGUAGGCUGCAACUCGCCUACACGAAGUCGGAGUUACUAGUAAUCGCGAAUCAGCAUGUCGCGGUGAAUGCGUUCCCGGGUCUUGUACACACCGCCCGUCACACCAUGGAAGUUGGUAAUACCCGAAGCCGCUGAGCGAACAAUUGACGCAGGCGUCGAAGGUAGGAUCAAUGACUGGGGUGAAGUCGUAACAAGGUAGCCGUAGGAGAACCUGCGGCUGGAUCACCUCCUU
rnacentral:rRNA from 1 species